GAUGAACGCUGGCGGCGUGCCUAAUACAUGCAAGUCGAGCGAACAGACGAGGAUCUUGCUCCUCUGACGUUAGCGGCGGACGGGUGAGUAACACGUGGAUAACCUACCUAUAAGACUGGGAUAAAUUCGGGAAACCGGAGCUAAUACCGGAUAAUAUAUUGAACCGCAUGGUUCAAUAGUGAAAGACGGUUUUGCUGUCACUUAUAGAUGGAUCCGCGCCGCGUUAGCUAGUUGGUAAGGUAACGGCUUACCAAGGCGACGAUGCGUAGCCGACGUGUGAGGGGGAUGCGGCACUCGGGGACUGAGCCACGGCACAGGCACCUAGGGGAGGCAGAAGUAGGGAAGCGUCCCAAAUGGGGGAAAGCCUGCAGGAUCAACGGAGGGUGGAUGAUGCAGCUCUGCGGACCGGAAAACUCCGUUAUGGGGGAAAACCAAAUUUGUAAAUAACUAUGCACGGCUUGACGGUACCUAAUCAGAAAGCCCCGGCUAACUACGUG
rnacentral:rRNA from 1 species